UGUUUACUCACUCAAGUUCAUUCGACAUCUUCCUGCUCCCAGGCUCCCAGGCUUGACGGAUGGAUCGGCACCGCGCACCAAGGCUCUGCUGACCGCUCGUCUCUAAUUCUUGCCUGACACAGACAUUCCCUGCCCAGGGAAGUGUUUGAUUUAUGUUGAGGUUUCAGUGUCGGGAUUCUGCUGACAGGAGUUAAACUGGGGACUUGGGGAUUCAGAUGAGGAUUUCCUUGCGGAACUACAGAGGAAAAAUGUCCAAGGCCUGGCUUGGACGGAGGGGGUCCUGGUACCCCAGUGCUUAAUGGAAGAAGCAUUCAUCACGGAAACAGAAGACAGGAAAAGGGAAACAAGGACAGGAUGACCCAGGGCUUCUAAAACCCCUUUCCCUCUGAGAGCUCCGGGCUCUACCCUAUGGUCACUACGAACCUCAGAGAGAAACUCAGGAACAGAGAGGUUCAUUGACUGCAUGCAACUCACACAGCAAAUCGGGGAUCCAUUUCAUUUGCUUUCCAUCGAAGAUCCUGUUGCUUACUAUACAUCCCACAAC